rnacentral:snRNA from 1 species
CUGUUUGCGCAGUGGCAGUAUCAUAGCCAAUGAGGUCAAACCGAGGCAUUAUUAUUGCUAAUUGU